ensembl:misc_RNA 7SK 7SK RNA
GGAUGUGAGGGUGAUCUGGCUGUGACAUCUGUCACCCCAUUGAUCACCAGGGGUGAGUCCACUGAUCUGGCUGGCCAUGUGGGUACCCCUUCCUCCCUCACCACUCCAAGGACAUCCCUCUCAAAGCUGCAUAGUCGGUUGAAGAGGACAGCCUUCCCUGAAUAGCAGAGGACUGAUCUUUGGUCAAGGGUAUUCAAGUAGCUGUACUCCCCUGCUAGAACCUUCAAACAAGAUCCAAUUUCAUUGAAGAAAGAAAGGCUAAACUGAACACAUCCUCUGUGCCUCAAAAGCAACUGCUUAGAAGGUAUUU